rnacentral:lncRNA from 1 species
AACGAGCAUCGGGACUGGCAUGAUGAGCAUACACGGAUGUAUCACAAUCAACACGCUUGGCAUCAAGACUUGGUUAAAUGGCAUCAGGUUUUCUACAACGAAAUGUCCGGCUUUAUGGAUGAUUGCCGUGAAAAUCCUGGGAUUAUGGACAGCUUUAGAAGCAUUGAAGUUCAGAAUCGAUUUAGGCGAUACUCCUUCAUGGACCAAAAUCC